GUACCCUAAGCUGAGAGUCCCGCUUUGCCCUGAUCCCUGAACAUUCGCACCCCAGGGUUCUAAAACGGAAGCAACCACAAGCAGGAACCGUUACACACCAGGUUCCAGUCAGACUCCCCUGAUCCGGUCUGACGUCCGGAUCUCUCCGAACAGACCCCGCCCGUGCUCGGUUCCCAGCACCCGCGGACACCCCCCCGAGCUUGCCUCCGCUGACCCUCCCGCGUUUAGCCGUUACGACCUUCAAAUGUUAAGUGCCCGCUUUGCGCUGGGGUUUUCCCGGCACCGAGCAUCUCCGCCAACCCUGCUUCCUGCCAAUGAUAGGAGCCAGUAUCAAAGAGUGACAGCCUAAAGAUGGCAGAGCAGGGGAGGGGGUCAACAGGAUCCACAAGAUCCCAGAGAGGAGGCACAGGUCUACAGGAUCAAAGAGGAUCUCUGAGAACAGGUUACAGCUACAAGAUCCGGAGAGAAAUAGCAACGCCCCACACAAACAAUGCAAUUUCCACAGAACCAGAAGCUGCCGCCAUUCUCACACCAGAUCGUGGAUGCCCAAGUCCUGUGUUUUCACCACCCUGAGAAGGGGCCCUGAAAGCUGUCAAAGAAACAGGAUCUCACUGUUUAUAGCCCUGACUGGCCUGGAAAUUACUAAGACCAGAGAGGCCUUGAAAACACAACAAUCCACCUGCCUCUGCCUCCCAAGUGUUGGAAUAAAAGCUCAUGAUACCAAAGCAGA